GACGAACGCUGGCGGCGUGCUUAACACAUGCAAGUCGAACGGAAAGGCCCUGCUUUUGUGGGGUGCUCGAGUGGCGAACGGGUGAGUAACACGUGAGUAACCUGCCCUUGACUUUGGGAUAACUUCAGGAAACUGGGGCUAAUACCGGAUAGGAGCUCCUGCUGCAUGGUGGGGGUUGGAAAGUUUCGGCGGUUGGGGAUGGACUCGCGGCUUAUCAGCUUGUUGGUGGGGUAGUGGCUUACCAAGGCUUUGACGGGUAGCCGGCCUGAGAGGGUGACCGGCCACAUGGGAAGUGGGAUACGGCCCAGACUCCUACGGGAGGCAGCAGUGGGAAUAUUGCACAAUGGGCGGAAGCCUGAUGCAGCAACGCCGCGUGCGGGAUGACGGCCUUCGGGUUGUAAACCGCUUUCGCCUGUGACGAAGCGUGAGUGACGGUAAUGGGUAAAGAAGCACCGGCUAACUACGUG
rnacentral:rRNA from 1 species